rnacentral:rRNA from 1 species
UACGUAAGGUGCAAGCGUUGUCCGGAAUUAUUGGGCGUAAAGAGCUCGUAGGCGGCUUGUCACGUCGACUGUGAAAACCCGGGGCUCAACUCCGGGCCUGCAGUCGAUACGGGCUGGCUUGAGUGCGGUAGGGGAGACUGGAAUUCCUGGUGUAGCGGUGAAAUGCGUAGAUAUCUGGAGGAACACCGGUGGCGAAGGCGACAUCCUGGACCGGUAUUGACGCUGAGGCGCGAAAGCCAGGGGAGCAAACGGG